GUAAUAGGCCUGGUUAAGAUCAUAAAAGCUAAGGAAAUGUUAACACUUAAAAGAAGUACCAGUAAACUAGCAUGAUUUUGUUUCCAAAACAGCAUAAAGCCACAGGGAGUUGCAGACCAUUGGCUGUAUAUAAUCAAGGAUGCAGUCACUCAACAAAGUAUUUGGACUCUUAAGCCACAAUUAAACAGGUGUGUACGGAUGUGCUUCUCUUACUGCGUGCCUCAUGCGUGUUCGCGUCUGAGGUUGCGAGUGUGACAGACACAGAGAGACCCCCUCACACUCCCCAGAGACGGUCAUAGACAGCUCAUCUUCCAGGUGAAGGGAUUUGGUGGCCUCCAGGGUCUGCCAUCAUCAGCAGCCGGCAAGCUGUUUCCAGGCAGCUCAGAGGCAAACAACUAUUGUUGAGUGUCAUAUAUGACAACGUGCAAGUCUUUUUUCCACCGUGAUCUGGCACGACGCCACGUGUUAAAGGUCAUCAUGCCUUUCUCAUCAAAAUGUUACACCCCCACUCCACUCUGGAUGAAAAGGGUCCUGUGAGAGAGGAGUGUACAGCCAACCACAUGGCAGGACAGGCGCGGUGUCCUGGGCUGGGGCCUUAUGGAAGGUCAGGGGGGUUGGCGAGUAGCGGCAGCCAGGACUCUGAAGGAAACAGUGGGAGAAUGGGGCGGCUUGAGCCCGCUGGUCACCAGCCAACAUGCCCAACCUCGAGAGUUUGCUUUCCUCGACUCUUGUCUCUCAAAGCACUCCAAAUUUGUGGCGAGCGAGGUAUGCAAAACGACACAAUGUAGUUAUUUUGGUUCGGUGUAGUAAAGGCGACAUUGCUGACAUUGCCCAUUAUAAAUCUAUAACUCAUUUAUAUAAAGUAUAGUAGGCAUAAUCAGGGUUUUCGCAUUUAUUUGUAUAGCGCUUUCGCGAUACAUAUUGUUUCAAAGUAGCUUUACAUAAAAUGCUUGUUUCAAAGAUGAGUGUAUCAAAGUAAUGUCCAUAUGGCAGUGAUAUGCUCUUAAAGUUAACAUGUAUUCAGUCAAGCAGACACCAUAAACGUGUUACAACUUAUGCUCGUAAUGAUUACAAUACAAGGUUAAUAUACAAU